rnacentral:rRNA from 1 species
CCCUGGUAGUCCAUGCCGUAAACGAUGAGUGCUAGGUGUUGGAGGGUUUCCGCCCUUCAGUGCCGGAGCUAACGCAUUAAGCACUCCGCCUGGGGAGUACGACCGCAAGGUGGAAACUCAAAGGAAUUGACGGGGGCCCGCACAAGCGGUGGAGCAUGUGGUUUAAUUCGAAGCUACGCGAAGAACCUUACCAGGUCUUGACAUCUUGCGCUAACCUUAGAGAUAAGGCGUUCCCUUCGGGGACGCAAUGACAGGUGGUGCAUGGUCGUCGUCAGCUCGUGUCGUGAGAUGUUGGGUUAAGUCCCGCAACGAGCGCAACCCUUGUUACUAGUUGCCAGCAUUAAGUUGGGCACUCUAGUGAGACUGCCGGUGACAAACCGGAGGAAGGUGGGGACGACGUCAGAUCAUCAUGCCCCUUAUGACCUGGGCUACACACGUGCUACAAUGGACGGUACAACGAGUCGCAAGCUCGCGAGAGUAAGCUAAUCUCUUAAAGCCGUUCUCAGUUCGGACUGUAGGCUGCAACUCGCCUACACGAAGUCGGAAUCGCUAGUAAUCGCGGAUCAGCAUGCCGCGGUGAAUACGUUCCCGGGCCUUGUACACACCGCCCGUCACACCAUGGGAGUUUGUAACGCCCAAAGUCGGUGGCCUAACCAUUAUGGAGGGAGCCGCCUAA